ACGGGGGGUGCAAGCGUUAUUCGGAAUUACUGGGCGUAAAGAGCAUGCAGGCGGAGUAACAAGUCUGAUGUGAAAUCCCAGGGCUUAACCCCGGAAGGGCAUUGGAAACUGUUAAUCUUGAAUGUUGGAGAGGAAGAUGGAAUUUCCGGUGUAGAGGUAAAAUCCGUAGAGAUCAGAAGGAAUACCGGUGGCGAAGGCGAUCUUCUGGACAAUAACUGACGCUGAGAUGCGAAAGCGUGGGGAGCAAACAG
rnacentral:rRNA from 1 species